UACGUAGGGUGCAAGCGUUAAUCGGAAUUACUGUGCGUAAAGCGUGCGCAGGCGGCUUUGCAAGACAGAUGUGAAAUCCCCGGGCUUAACCUGGGAACUGCAUUUGUGACUGCAUGGCUGGAGUGCGGCAGAGGGGGAUGGAAUUCCGCGUGUAGCAGUGAAAUGCGUAGAUAUGCGGAGGAACACCGAUGGCGAAGGCAAUCCCCUGGGCCUGCACUGACGCUCAUGCACGAAAGCGUGGGGAGCAAACAGG
rnacentral:rRNA from 1 species